UUAUUAUGAACCCACAUAUCGGGUUAUUAUAGGUGUACGAUUUUAUUAUCAGUGUUUUGAUAAGUCUAAUAAGUAGAGGAGAGGAGGAUUCUGACCCAGAUUAACUUUUGUCACUGUAUGAAAAAGUGGGUGUCUGACAUCGGUAUUUGUUGUUUUACAUAAAAUACAUUAGAUACCAAUAUCUUCUUUUCUGCAGACCAGGUUGAGGGAAUGUGCAGUCAGCACUUCGACAAUAUUAUAGAGUAUAUUAUAACUGUGUGUCAUAAUAUUUGUGGGUGUUAAAACCAGUCAGCCAGCCGCCAUGUCAGGUAUGCUGUAGACAGCUAUUUUAUCUCCAAGGUUACUGACAACACCAGCAAGUGUGAGGCAUUGAGGUGGAUGGAUUAUCUCGGCAGUGAAAUGUGAGUACAGUGGAGAAAACACCAAACCUUCACUGGAUCUAACAUGGGUACAGGGGCCUGAGAGAGCGCCAUCUGCUGUGCCGGGUGGCAGCAGCUGUGUAUGAUACUGGUGAAGCAGAGAUGCUUGGUUGACGGGAGAUGUGACCUGAGGAUUGGUACUCCAACAUCACCGGGAGACAAGCCAGCCACAAAGAUGGAGGAGCAUCUCUUCCAAGGCAGGGAGAUGGAGGAUCACAACAAGUUUAUCAUGGAUUUACCGAGUGGACUUGGGUACAAAAUUAUAAGAUGUCUUCAAUGUUUUAUGCAACACACAGAAACACAAAAAUAAGGAAAUCUUAAUAAACAUAACUGUAGAUCAUUCUGGUGAAUGAUUAUGUUUGCGUUCUAUAUGGACACUACAAAACACCGUACCUGAGGAAGUGCGCAUGCGCACUAGUUUACCUCUCCUGUGUGUACAUCACCCGCCAGGUUGUUAGUAUAGCUUGUUGCCUGUGGCUGUGUAAGUUCAUUAUACUCAACAGAAGUUUAUGUAAUAAACACAUCUGGCUUGGAUUCAAUCUACGGACUCCUCACUCAUUUCUAUAAUGACUUUACAGCAUUAAAGUCAAGAGUGAUGUAAUAUGUAUCCUUUAUCAAUAAACAAUCAGAAUGGAUCAUCUAUGAGGAUUACUCAAUCCAACUACCUGUAGCAGAUACAUGUGAGUAACACACACACAUUGACAGCUUUAAUUAUGUUUAUCAUGUCAUGACAAACACAGAAGACAUACAAGUGUUUUUACAGGCGGAGUAGAACUUCUGACUUUGAUGUAUAAUCUUGGUGGAGUGCCCAUUUAAUACACAUGUAAACACAACAAGACCAUGGAACAUCCUUGACCUUGUUUAAUCUUGUAUGUCCACAGGAUGAGGCACAAUGUCUACAGAAGUAAAAUUCUCACUGUGUUCCCUGGCUCUGCUCAGGCCUUGUAUCCACUCACAAUUUAACAUCUGGAGUGGGUGGAGCAAAUGUCAGGGCUUGGGGAGGCACACAGGCCUUGGUUUGGAAAUAUAGCCACAGAUGGACUGAAGAUGGACCGUUAAAGGAUGGAUUUCAAGAUUUCUUGGUCCUCUGCAGAGUUUUUCUUCUUCUAACUGAGCUCCAAAAUUCCAGUCACCUAACAAUGAAGAAUUGUGGUUGCUCCCAUCUCCGGGCUGUCAGGUUCAGUUCAGUUGGCAAGUUCUCUGGAGCAGCAAAAUGAGCCUUGGGUACGCGAGCAGUACCUGGGGAAGGAUUCAAGUGCCUCCAUGCUGCUUCAUUUGCCAUGGCGACCUCCGGCUGUGAUGUCUGCUCCAACAUCCCUUUAGGAGUGAACAAGUUCAGAUGGAAGAGAGCGCCAUCUGCUGUGCCGGGUGGCAGCAGCUGUGUAUGAUACUGGUGAAGCAGAGAUGCUUGGUUGACGGGAGAUGUGACCUGAGGAUUGGUACUCCAACAUCACCGGGAGACAAGCCAGCCACAAAGAUGGAGGAGCAUCUCUUCCAAGGCAGGGAGAUGGAGGAUCACAACAAGUUUAUCAUGGAUUUACCGAGUGGACUUGGGUACAAAAUUAUAAGAUGUCUUCAAUGUUUUAUGCAACACACAGAAACACAAAAAUAAGGAAAUCUUAAUAAACAUAACUGUAGAUCAUUCUGGUGAAUGAUUAUGUUUGCGUUCUAUAUGGACACUACAAAACACCGUACCUGAGGAAGUGCGCAUGCGCACUAGUUUACCUCUCCUGUGUGUACAUCACCCGCCAGGUUGUUAGUAUAGCUUGUUGCCUGUGGCUGUGUAAGUUCAUUAUACUCAACAGAAGUUUAUGUAAUAAACACAUCUGGCUUGGAUUCAAUCUACGGACUCCUCACUCAUUUCUAUAAUGACUUUACAGCAUUAAAGUCAAGAGUGAUGUAAUAUGUAUCCUUUAUCAAUAAACAAUCAGAAUGGAUCAUCUAUGAGGAUUACUCAAUCCAACUACCUGUAGCAGAUACAUGUGAGUAACACACACACAUUGACAGCUUUAAUUAUGUUUAUCAUGUCAUGACAAACACAGAAGACAUACAAGUGUUUUUACAGGCGGAGUAGAACUUCUGACUUUGAUGUAUAAUCUUGGUGGAGUGCCCAUUUAAUACACAUGUAAACACAACAAGACCAUGGAACAUCCUUGACCUUGUUUAAUCUUGUAUGUCCACAGGAUGAGGCACAAUGUCUACAGAAGUAAAAUUCUCACUGUGUUCCCUGGCUCUGCUCAGGCCUUGUAUCCACUCACAAUUUAACAUCUGGAGUGGGUGGAGCAAAUGUCAGGGCUUGGGGAGGCACACAGGCCUUGGUUUGGAAAUAUAGCCACAGAUGGACUGAAGAUGGACCGUUAAAGGAUGGAUUUCAAGAUUUCUUGGUCCUCUGCAGAGUUUUUCUUCUUCUAACUGAGCUCCAAAAUUCCAGUCACCUAACAAUGAAGAAUUGUGGUUGCUCCCAUCUCCGGGCUGUCAGGUUCAGUUCAGUUGGCAAGUUCUCUGGAGCAGCAAAAUGAGCCUUGGGUACGCGAGCAGUACCUGGGGAAGGAUUCAAGUGCCUCCAUGCUGCUUCAUUUGCCAUGGCGACCUCCGGCUGUGAUGUCUGCUCCAACAUCCCUUUAGGAGUGAACAAGUUCAGAUGGAAGGUAAUACUGGUCAUAUUUCUUGGUUUACUAGAGCCAUUCUGUAUUUGGAUGCACUAUAUCAAACUAUGAGAGAUAUAACAAGACAAUCCAUCAUUUCCGGUGGCAGAGGCAGUGAAACUGCCAAUGUGUAAACUUCCUUUUUACACAUUUGUGGAAUUUUGUCCAAUGUGUACUGCGAAGA